rnacentral:rRNA from 1 species
CAGUCGAACGAGAGAGAGGAAGCUUGCUUCCUCAAUCGAGUGGCGAACGGGUGAGUAACGCGUGAGGAACCUGCCUCAAAGAGGGGGACAACAGUUGGAAACGACUGCUAAUACCGCAUAAGCCCACAGCUCGGCAUCGAGCAGAGGGAAAAGGAGCAAUCCGCUUUGAGAUGGCCUCGCGUCCGAUUAGCUAGUUGGUGAGGUAACGGCCCACCAAGGCGACGAUCGGUAGCCGGACUGAGAGGUUGAACGGCCACAUUGGGACUGAGACACGGCCCAGACUCCUACGGGAGGCAGCAGUGGGGGAUAUUGCACAAUGGGGGAAACCCUGAUGCAGCGACGCCGCGUGGAGGAAGAAGGUUUUCGGAUUGUAAACUCCUGUCGUUAGGGACGAUAAUGACGGUACCUAACAAGAAAGCACCGGCUAACUACGUGCCAGCAGCCGCGGUAAAACGUAGGGUGCAAGCGUUGUCCGGAAUUACUGGGUGUAAAGGGAGCGCAGGCGGGAAGACAAGUUGGAAGUGAAAACCAUGGGCUCAACCCAUGAAUUGCUUUCAAAACUGUUUUUCUUGAGUAGUGCAGAGGUAGAUGGAAUUCCCGGUGUAGCGGUGGAAUGCGUAGAUAUCGGGAGGAACACCAGUGGCGAAGGCGGUCUACUGGGCACCAACUGACGCUGAGGCUCGAAAGCAUGGGUAGCAAACAGGAUUAGAUACCCUGGUAGUCCAUGCCGUANACGAUGAUUACUAG